AUUUUGUAUUUUGGGGGAAUUCUACCAGGAAACUUACGAUCAUCUUUUGGAAGUCCCGGUCACGCGGGAGCAGUUAAAUCACUGUCGGAAUGUGGCUCAAAAUGCUCGAAGUGAACUUGCAGCAACUCUGGUCAAAUUUGAAUGUGCUCAGUCUGAGCUUCGAGACCUCCGAUCCAAGAUGCUUUCUAAAGAAGUCUCCUAUCAAGAAUUGAAAGCGGAAAUGGAGAGUUACAAGGAAAACAAUGCCAGAAAAUCAUCUCUCCUUACCUCUUUGAGAGACAGAGUUCAGGAGCUAGAAGAAGAAUCAGCAGCACUUUCCACUUCUAAAAUCAGAACAGAAAUCACAGCUCACACUGCAAUCAAGGAGAACCAGGAAUUAAAGAAGAAAGUUGUAGAGUUAAAUGAAAAAUUACAAAAGUGUUCAAAAGAAAAUGAGGAGAAUAAGAAACAAGUUUCAAAGAAUUGCAGGAAACACAAGGAAUUUCUGAUUCAACUGCGUGACUGCUUGGAUCCAGACGAGAGGAAUGACAAGGCAUCAGAUGAAGAUUUAAUUUUAAAGGUAUCUGUAUGCAGAUUAAAAAGUCUAUAAAUGUGGUGGUGAUUCUGACAUGUGGCAUGAAAGGAAG
ensembl:lincRNA